GUGGACUUCGACAAUGCCGGUGAUAGUGAAGAAGAAUAAGUGUUAAUUAGUGUUAUAAUUGCAAAUAGAUAAUUAAUUUAUGAGUGGGUGUACAAUUUAGAGAAGAGGAUAAUUGCAGAGCAGAAGUUCCAGAAAAAAAUUGUACAUCAAAGAGCAGUAAUAUUCUAUCCUUGAUGGCUUAUGGUGUCACGUACUUCAAAAAUAAGGGCGAAAAAAAGAAGGGCACAGAAUUCUACAUAUUCAGACUUUUUAGAACUCGGUCUAUUUUUAUGGUUAUUUUUCACAUUUUCUGAAUGGAAAUUUAACUUGAAAGUAGGGAUCUCCGAGGGCUAUUUAGUUUGAAAGAAUCUUCUUGAAGCUGAGAAUUCGUUAUUAAGGCCUGGCACAAAUAACAAACUAAAGGACAAGCAGAGAUUUUUCGGAAGUAGUCCAUUAAGGAACAGGAAGGGACAAAGUUGUCAUUGCUCCGAGGAAGGAUUCAUCGAACGGUGAGUCGUUUUUUUUUUGUUAGCCCUUUUCUAUUUAUUGUUUAUAAGUUAAUAAAAUUAAAACAAAGUUAGACACUGUUUAUUAUGAUAAGAGACGUCGUCUGACUAAAAACGACCUCUUCUACUUAAAACGCGUUUUUUUUAUAUUUCCUUUUUCAUGCUUAUAAAA